UCCAGUCUGCUGUUUUGUUUCUCUCUUCAGCAGCAGUGAAUAGUGCUCUUUUGAAGUUUGUUUGUUGCCUGCUGGUCUAAAUGUAACCAUUUGGUAUAAGGAUGGAACGUUAAGUACUUUGUGCACUGGUGUGAUUAAAACUGGGAAGUGUGAAAGGAAGCUUCUGGAUACAUUAUUUCAUGCUGAAUUAAUUGUUUGAUAACAAGUACUCUAAAGACUGUUUGCAUUUAUUGGAAGUUAAAAAAGGAAGCAUCUAGAUACAUUUUUAUGCUGAAAGCAGCAAGUUCUCUGAAGACUGAAGCUUCUGGAUAUAUUAUUUUAUGCUGAAAACUCUCACAUAUCAAGCAGAGCUUGGGCCAAGUUUGCCAAUGACACAGUUCAGUAAUGAGCCUUACACUGGAUAUACGUGUUCAGGAUGUUGAAAGGACAACAGCAUUAUAAAGAACAACUCCACUGUUAAUCAGUUAAAAGCUAUCCUGCAAAUGAGUUACAGCAACGUUUCAUGAACAGAGACAACCUCUUCAAAAAGAGACGUGGAACCAGUUUUAAACUUAUUACAGCAACUCGCGCGUAAAAUUGACCAGUUUCAAAAUAGAAUGGAAUUAAUACAAGACAAAUGUACACAUCAGACUGAAAUUAAUAGGAAAGUCGUUAGAGACAUAAGUUCGCAAAUACAAGGUAAAGACAUUUGCUAACACUGAGGGGGGAAGGAGAGAUGAUGAGUUAUAUACCAUUUUCCUCUGAAAUAGAACAAAUGGUUAAAUCCAUGAAAAAAUGUGUUAGUUCCUCCUCUCACAAUUUUCUAUCUUAAGAAGGUAGUGAUAUGGUUACUUUCCUGACUACAUGGAUUCCUCAAAUCUUAAAUAUGCAAGAAUAAAUAUCAUUUGACGUAGUGAGGGUUACAAAAGCAAUUAGAAAUUCCAUUCUAAAAAUAUUGACCCCCCCACGAUCCAUUGUGAUAUGGUUUAAUUUAAAUGGAUAAAGUUAUAUUAACAGUUUUGGAAAAAUUCCCAGGAGAAAUUUGAGUGCCAGUUGCAAGGUUUGAUGAUGACUAAAGAAAAAAAAAAAAGUGUCGGGAACACAAAAAUGCUGGCUAUUGAAGAGAACACUAAAACAGAAUAAUAUAAAGUUCAUCUACUCUGUCCAUCUGGAAGUGAACUUUUUUAUCUCAACAGUGACACGAGGAUCUUUUGUCCUUUAGAAGAAAUUACUUCACAUGGCAAAAACUAGAUCAACAUUCCAAGCAGAGAAAUUUGGACUGGCCUGAUCCUACUCCUUUUUAAAACGAUCUUCAGGAAAAAUGAAUGGACAGAAACUUCAAGAAAAUGCUUAAGAUUCCAAUCCCUUUUAGUAAGAAGAGAGACAAAUAUGUUUCACAUGGACUAUAAAAUGGUAUAAGUUACUUAAUCUUUCUAAUAACUGAUAAUAUAGGUUUUUCUAUAAUUAGUACCCUAAAUAAUUGUUGCUGUAUAUAGAAACUAUCUGUAUUAACUCUGU